UACGUAGGGUGCAAGCGUUAUCCGGAAUGAUUGGGCGUAAAGCGUCCGCAGGUGGCAGUUCAAGUCUGCUGUCAAAGACCGGGGCUUAACUUCGGAAAGGCAGUGGAAACUGAACAGCUAGAGUAUGGUAGGGGCAGAGGGAAUUCCUGGUGUAGCGGUGAAAUGCGUAGAGAUCAGGAAGAACAUCGGUGGCGAAGGCGCUCUGCUGGACCAUAACUGACACUCAGGGACGAAAGCUAGGGGAGCGAAUGGG
rnacentral:rRNA from 1 species